GCGCCCAGGCGGCCUCGCUGCGGAGGCCCGAGGUCCUUUUCCUUCCAGCAUUUAAAAAAAAAAAAGAAAAAAAAUUUAUAAAAGCUGUUUAUUUACACAGCUCUUGCCUGCCGGAGGUGGUGUUUCUUAUCAGGGAGUUCAUGUGCUAAGGAGGCAGUUUCAAAGGCAGUCGGGCAGUGGCCUUUGGAAGGAUGGCACAGAAGGAUUGGUACCAGGUGCUGGGAGCCAAACCAUCGGACAGCCCUGCGGAGCUGAAGAGGAAGUACCAAAAACUCGCCUUAUUGUAUCACCCAGACAAGCAGGAGGCAGAUGUGCCGGCAGGAGAAGCGGAGCAGCGCGUGCAGCGGUUCAUCGAAGUCGAUCAGGCGUGGAAAAUUCUGGGGAACGAGGAGACAAAAAAAGAGUAUGACCUGCAGCGGCGUGCAGAUAACCUGACAAAAGAAUGGCCACUUCAUGAACAAGUUUACCUUGAGGACAUGUCCUGGAAUGAAGAUGAACAGCUCUACACGCUGUCCUGUCGAUGUGGUGGGAGUUACAGUGUCUCCAAGAGUGAAACCAAAGAUGUGUCUGUGGUUUGCUGUGACACGUGCUCGCUUGUUAUCGAGAUCCUUCAGUGACCGUUUAAAGGAAGCUCAUGAACUGUUACAAACUUUGCAAGAGACUGGACAGACAAGUGGCUGAAGAAAUCCAUGUUAAGAAAAGGGGGGGCACUACAAGAACAAGUAUGUUCAGGCUUAAAAAUGACAGGUGCCUCUUUGCUGACACAGAUAGAUCUGCAUUGGUGUUUUUCCUUCUGCAGCCAAAGAGCUCCUUACCAAACACCUCCAAACCUGGACCACUGGAAUGUAUCCCGUGAUCUAAACAACGUUUCUUUUCCAGCAAACAACAGAGCAGAUCUUCCCCUUUCAGCCUCUAUCAGCUGUCCCUUGGGCCCUUCCUCUGAGGUUAAAUCCUUUCCACAGCUCAGAUGACAAAAGUCACUCAGGAGGCAUAAAUGUGAGAACACUUGGAAGAUAAUGAAGAGCAAGGUGCAGUAAUGGGAAACAGGAACAUUUUCUAUUUAUAAGCAUCUGAUCUCCAGGAAGGAACACAGUCACUGUCCAGGAACAGCCACCUGCUCUGUAGCUGAGUUCAUGGAACAGCCCCAGCACAGGACUCUUUCCUGCUUUCUGUGUGGAGUGAAGAAGGAAUUUUCUCAUUUCAAAGAGGAAGCACAGUGCCAGGGUUCAAUUAUUUCUAACCCUGUGAUUCAUCCCCAGCACUGAAGACCAUGACAGAAGGGGCAGAGAGAGAGUUAAGGACGGGAAUGGCAGGACACAGCAUCAUUCCUGCAGCCUGGGACUGGGCACUGCUGGAAGCUCCCUGUGCUCAGCUGGGCUGGGCCCUGGGGGAGGCAGAAGGAUGUGAGUCACUCUCAGGACCUCAAGUUCUGUGGAUCAGGAAAAGGCUCAAAGCUCCCUUGUGGCAAGGACCUCAGAGAAUACCUCAGAGAAUACCUGUGGGUUUGGCAUGUGCAGGUGGAGCAUGAGGAACAUCUGCUGCUACACAAAACCACAGAGGUAACACCUCCUCUCUGUGCACAUCAGCCAGGGAGCUAUUUUAAGGUCCACACAGCAACAGAAGGAUAUUUGUGAUCCUGGUUAGAAGCAAAGCCCUGGAAUUCAAGGCUGUCCAGAGGGCCUGUGCUGGCUGCAGGCUGGGUGUCGAGUCUUUGUUUGGCCUCGAAGGCAAACAGAAGCAAAAGGAAAUAGAAAUAUCCCAUAUUACAAAUCUAAGCUGAUCUGAGUAAAGGCCUGGAGAGGGAAGUUUGUUAGGCCAUUCACUACAGCACAAAUCUCCUUUCAGGCAACUCAAAUCACACCUAUUGCAAUUUGACUUUCUUGCAGUGAAAGGAAUCAACUUUGCUUUAAAUGCUGCUUUGACAAUUUAGCUUCAAUUUCAUCACAGUAAUCUUAGUGGUAGAGUUAGAAGGAAAAUGGUGUUCUGUGUGCUCUGCCUGCAGGGAGAACCUGAGAAAAAAUACUCAUGGCUGGAAACGAGAUGGAAACCCUUCCUCUGUGAAACAAAGACCUGCCACUGUGUCGUAAUUCCCAAGUCCUUUAAAGUUAUGACAGAAGUUGACUGUGACUUGUUCAUUCAGACUGGCUAUUCCAAUUAGCAGCUACUUGGCCUCUUUGGUUUGGCCUACAUAGAUAGAUCUGAUCUGAUGGACGGGGCAUAAAUGGGGCUAACUAGCUCUUUUGAAGAUCCACCACAGGUCUGGUUUUGACAUGGAGCCUAAACCCAGGGAAUGCACAGGAUAUCCUACCUAGGACAGGAUGAAGCGUGAGCUCUGUCAGAGUGGGACUCUCAGUGCUUUCACUGAAUUUGCAGCUGCUUUGAUUUCAGCAGCCCCUCACGGAAUGGACUCGGCUCUUGGAGGGGCAGUGGACACGGUGGCACGGAGGGAAAGGAGCAAAGAUGACCACAUAUUGUGAUUUCCCUGUGGGGUAAAUCUGGUGCACCAACAGUGACUGAGAAUCUUCUGUCUAAACUUCACAGAUAAAACAUUUAUGUUCUGCCAAGGACAGGCUGCCCAGACAAACUCGGGUUGGCUCAGCUCACUCUCUUCUGUUGGAAUCCAUGAAAUUACUUCCAAAUUAGCCUUGGGUUUGUUUGCGUCCUUUCCUAGAAAUGUAACUUAGCACUGAAAGGCAUCUGCUUCUCCAAAAUCCACUGGAUGAUAAAGCCACAAAAGCUUCCAUUCUGAAGGCAGUAAAAAAGUGUUUCAUGAAGGAGAAGCCAAACCUCCAGACUCUGCACUGAAAGUACACACAGGUUUUUUGGCCAGUGGUCUCCUGUUUAUCCCCCACCACGCAGACUGAACCCUGCUGCCUUUCACUGUGAUGUUCAGCAGCAACACACAGUACCAAGACCACUGCACUCUGAUGUGAAUCACCACGAACAACCCAAACUAGAAACACUCACUUGAAGACUAAACUCAUUUUUGCUCUUGUUAAGCACCAUAUACUUAAAUCUCAUGAAAACAUGGAUAAUCACUACUCUAUGCACCAUCCUAGAACAACAGCAGUACAAGCUGGUUAAAUAAUUAUGCUGAUUAAGUAUCAAGUGAUUGCUGACUGUCUCUUUUAACACACAGUGUUCUGGAGUCCUAAAGCAGCACUUCAGUAUUACUGCACACAUUAUCUGUGUGUAAGUUCCACUCAUUUCACAGAGUUUACUCAGGGUUCAGUCCCGACAGUCACUUCAAUAGUCUCUCAAACACCUUCCUUGUUGGGGCACAAGCUGGACACAAAUCUUCUGCUGUGGAGAGAUCCUGAGACUGAUUCUGGCUGCCCCCAUCCACAGGUUCCUGGUGCACACCACAGUACAGAGCAGUGUCCUGACCCUUCUGCUGCAAACUCCUGGUCCAGCAUCUACUGGAAUCACAAGCCAUCCAUCCAGCUCCAGUCACUGGGAAAGGCUAUCCCAGCAAAUACACCCGCAGGAGAAGCAGGAAUUGCUAUGGUAGGAGGAGGUUUUUUCGUUAAAUACAAAAGGCAAACCAAGGUUAACGUUCCUUGUUACUGAAAAAGCAUCACCUGGAAUGCGCUCCUGUUCCACUCCCAGCCCUGCUGCUUCCUCUGCUUCCUCACUUCCCCAAAUUCAAAGGCAGAAUGGGAAGCUCAUCUUUUAUUACUUGAAAUAAAGACCCACUCAUAACUCAGGUAUAUCCAAACACUUCCUAGAACACUUCCCGUUUUUAUUCCAUGCUCCAGAAGUAUGAAAAAUACAAUAAAUUGCUUUUGCCAGUGAUGGCAUAACACUCCUUCCAACACUAGGAAUAAUUACUUGUCUACACAAGAUGUUCACAGUUUGCAUUCCAGGUGGAACAUCUGCAGUGAAGCAUCUUCCUACAUCCUGAAAUUCACCACUAAAGGUAACUUUUUCUCCAUGGAGGGUAUGACAGGCCCCUGUACCUCCGAAUUUAUCGUUCCUGUCACAAUGUAUGAUCCAUCUAGAUGCACUGUAAUACCUCUGUGUGGUGUCUGGCCACCAUCUAGGCCCUUCACUGCAACCUAGAAUUAAGACAAGCAACAAAAAUCACAAGAAUGACUUGAAAAUGUAAAACCAAAUACCAGUGACAGGCCAUAACCACAUCAGCGACCUCAGUGGGAUUACUCACACUGAAUAAAGUUCAGUUCGAGUAUCAACCUCUGCAGGAUCAGGAGCCAACCUGAAACACUGCAAAGCUGUGCAAGCCUAGCUGGAAUCAGAUACAUUAACCAAAGGAAAAAAAUGAACUGUUGAAAACCUGGUUUUUUAGUGAGAGUACAUUAAUUACACACCAAUAGGCUGCUGCUGCUGCAAAAAACCCAGAGCCAAGGGAAAGCCGCUUGUGUGACAAUUCACAGCGUUGCGUUUUGGUAUCCACAGGACUCGGACCUCUUAGACCAAUUCAAAUGUAUCCAAGGAGUACAGCUGAAAUCACAGUUGCCACUACUGCACACAGAGGGACUGUGGAUACAAAAACACAGCGGCAAAUGGGAAAUGGCAAAAGCAUUAACUUGGGCUGGGCAGUGUUUCUGUUCUCCACACACACACAGGCCAGAACUGCCCUGUGAGUCUCCCAGGCCUCACGAGAGUGGUGGGUCACACGAGGAACCAGCAACUCCUCAGCAGGGCAGGUUUGUGCAAAAAGCCACCUCUGAUUGUCUGCAGGCUCCUCCCUUUGCCUCGGCAACCCCCGUGCCUCUGGUUUUGUGCAGAUUAUCCGGGGAUUUAUUUCCAAGGAGCAGCAGUUCUCAGGCAGAACCGGUUGUCUGCGGGGCAGCUUAUACGUGUGGGAAUAAAGGACACCAUCAGGCACGACUCUCCCCUUCUCGCUUCCCAGGCUCCAGCUCAGGAGCAGACAGACCAGGAGGGCAAGAGUAUCCCUGAGAACAACUGAGCUUGAAGGAGGAGCUCAAUUCUCUUUCACCUCAGAUAAAUAAACACCUUUCACUGGGACAUUCCGGCUAAAUUUGCAGAGCUGUGGCCAUUUACUCAGUGGCGCAGUUAAAGUGGCAAGACUGAAGUAACAGGGCAGGUAUCUGAUGCAAACCUACUGGCAUAAAACAUUAAAGACAUGGGGAAGUGGGAUCAGCAAAUAAUUAUACUCUUCUGGUAGCUUUUAGUGACACCAAACUUUUUUUCUUUUGAUUGCUCUCACUGUCCUCAAAAGAUAAGAGCCCUGCGCCGCAUUAACCGGCAUACCAGAAAACUGCAAAUAAAAUUAACAGAUUGAAUUGUCUGCCUCAAGAACACCCCCAAACCCAAGCAAAUGCAACCAGGCUCCUGUGGUUUGGGUUUUUUGUUUGGGUGCAGUUUUUGUUUGUGAUUUUAGGGGCCGUAUAAACACAAAUCCCUCGCGACCUCAAAGCCCAUCGGCACGUACAGUCAGCUGGGAGCAGACGAAGCUUGAACUUCCCUGAGGUCACAGGUAUUCCCAUCACCUCCAGCAAUAUCAAAGUUUCAAACUUAAGAAGAACUUUUAAAUCACUGCCAUCUUUUCUUUUCAGUUCAGAGGCUUCCUUCUUGAGCUACGAUAAGAACUAAUCUCGGUGCUGGACAAAAGAAUCAAGACUGCAAGUUCUCAUCUAUCCCUGCUAAGGUCUAUUUAAGUGCCUCCUACUUUGGUACGAGCAACAAAUGUAAUUGCUUCGUGGCCUGCGGGUGUUCACUGAACAAAAGGAGCUUUUGUGAAUAAACCACAGGUGUUACCUUUCUUGAUUAAAGUGAAAUAUGAUGAAAGAUUCUACAAUAUCGAAUGACAAAUUUACUAACUACUGAUUAAAUUGCCUUAUUUAAGUAAAUUGCAUCUAGUUAGGAUAAAAUAUACACCAUAGAAAUGCGGGAGUUUGUUUUAUCGCUCUAUACUUAAAGUCUCACAUAACUACUCCUUAAUCCUUUAUUUAUUAAUUCAGGACCAAGACUGAAUAAUGCUUAACAAAUCCUUUUUUUAAUGAUCCAGUUGCUCUAGGCACUGUUUCUGUAGGCUUAUCAUAAAUGUUGUUCAUAUUAAGGUUGCCAUCUGUACAAAACCCAACAACAUUAAUUAGCAUUUGCAAAACCAGCACAAGCAUUUACAUUUACUUUUUUGUGCUGAAAAAGCUACGGAAUUGUAGCACCCACACUGGAACUUAAAACACAUGUCAAAUCCACAUCUUCUGUGUAUCACUUAAAGGCUGAAAUACUGGAAUUUAAUAAUUCGAACACUUGCAAGCUUUGUUUACUUUACUUCCAUAAGUAUUCUCAUAUGAUCUAAACCAUACUGUUAAACACACAGGUCUGAAUCAGCCUGAAAAGCUACAUAUCUGAUUUUUUAAAAUCUCUAGCUGCAACUCUAAAUGGGAAUUAUGAAUCUAGCUACAUUUAGGAACUCCUGAAAAAAAAUCAGAAUACGUCAGUGAUUCAUCACUCCAGACUAUUAAUUAGCUUUCUAGAUUUACAGAAGAGCAGUAUUUUGGAAGAAAACAUUGAUUGCAGAUCCAGCAAAGAUUACUUAGCAGUUUGCACAGACCUUUCUCACAGCAAUAAUUAGGAAGGAUUUGAUUCUUUUCUUCUCCAGAAACCAGAUGAUGUAACAGGGUCACCCAAAACACAGGUUUGAGAACAAUAAAAAAAACCAACCCAGUGGGUUCAAACCCCAAGUGGAACUCCCUGGUUGGUUUCAUCAUCCUGAGCAGCUCCUGAAAAGUUAUUCCUGAACUCUGAGCGGAGGAUCAUGAAAUCCCAAAGGUUCAAACCGAUCUGACCAGCACAGACAAAGCUGUACUCUGCAUUUCCAUAGAGCAAACACAUCUAGUGCUAGAAAGUCAGAAAGGAGUCACUUGGAACGAUUGUCCCUCACAAUCAGGGAGGGCAUUUCUCUGAGGUUUUGGUUCAGGCAUGAAGUGGCUGCACGGAAGCAGCGGGGCAGUGUCAGAGCUGCACUUGGCCUGCACUCAAGACCAGCUGAUAGUGCAGCUGCCUCCUCUUGGCUCCGACUGGGGGAGAAAGAGCUGUUGGAGAAGGAUGUGAGAGACCUCGGGGAGGGCUCGCUCUCUGAGGAGCCUCUCUCUGCUGCCCCGUGCCCAGGCCAUGGUGCAGGCACUGCCCUCCUCCUGAGCACACACUGAACCCAAGCCCUGCUACUCGGGUGCUCUUGAAAUACCAAAACCAAAACUGCAAAGGUGCAAAGGCCAAUCCACAGAAGAAGAGCACAGAAGCAGCCCUGGAAAUAUUGGGAAGUAGGUUGGUAAAAUUCUUUGUGUUUCUUUUCCCUUCAGUAAUUUAGUUUUGACAAAUCAGAGUUUCGAUCUUUAAUUACUUCUCGGGCAUUUCAAGAUUAGCUUGAGUCAUGAACUCUCUGCUGGGAUAUGGAGUGAUCUGCAAACUGGACAGGUUCUGCAAACCAAACAAAUAUUGCAAAUCAGUCCUCCUCUCCCACCAGACAUUUAGCACAGCCACUGGUUAAAAUUAUGGCAUAACUUUCUCUCAGGCCUCUGGAACACUAGAACUAAGGAGAAGGAAAAAGGAAAUUUCUUACUCCAUCUCCUGAUCAGCAACAAUUAAAACUGACUUUACUGACGUACUAAAUCAUGAGGGUAAAUCAGCUAUUAAGAUACUCAGAACAAAGCAAAAAGAACUAGAGUUUUGGUAAGUUUAUUUUUAACUGCUAGUCAGGAUAUUUUAAAGGGACUGAGUGCCCUAAAAUACGAACUCCCUUCUCGGUGUACCCAAACCUGCAGAACUCUCUAGCAGUGAUGAUGGUGUGGUGUUUGCACGGUGUUAUCCUCAGUACCCACGCAGUAUUCUCACAGCACGUGACAAGGACUGUGGAAGAGCGAACAGUGCCGUGCAGGAGCACUGGUGUGAUGUGCAAACACGGGGAGAUGCAUUAUCCUGGGAGCGGUGUUAGCUCUGGAGCACAGCACAGGAUGCAGGGAUGCCAUCUCCGCAAUGAGCCUCCUUUUAGCACAAGGUAAACACACCCCCCCUCAGCCCCUCUGCCAGCAUUAGUGCUGAGCUGUGAUUGAUCACCAGCACAGGGUUGCUGAGAUAUGGAUUUGUAUCACGGCUUUUUAUCACCAGGACUUGCAAAAGGCAGUUCCUUAUUUACAGACUCCGGCUCUAUUAAGUGACAUUAUUAGGGACUACUUUUGUUUAAGUGACACAAAGGCUGAGCAUAUUGGUGGUUUAUGACAUACAAGCUGUUUUAAUCUGAUGGCUUCCCCCUCACUUUUUCAGCUUGUAAAUAGGAGCUGCAGCACAAGAACAUAUGGCACUAAAGAAAUUAAAGCUAAAGUAAAUGGCAUUAAAACAAAUUCAAAUAUAACAAUAGGAUACUUGGUCUGAAUUAUAAACCUGGAUCUGUAUUAAGACUUUUCAAAACAGGAGAUAAAAGGCUAAAUAUGAAAAAUAACCUUUCAGCUG